rnacentral:rRNA from 1 species
CCUACGGGUGGCAGCAGUGGGGGAUCUUGCGCAAUGAGCGAAAGCUUGACGCAGCGACGCCGCGUGGGGGAUGAAGGCCCUCGGGUUGUAAACCCCUUUCGGCAGGGACGAAGGGAAACUGACGGUACCUGCAGAAGAAGCCCCGGCUAACUACGUGCCAGCAGCCGCGGUGAGACGUAGGGGGCGAGCGUUGUCCGGAUUCAUUGGGCGUAAAGCGCGCGUAGGCGGCCCGGUAAGUCGGAUGUGAAAUCCCGGAGCUCAACUCCGGAACUGCACCCGAUACUGCCGGGCUCGAGGUAGGUAGGGGAGAUCGGAAUUCCUGGUGUAGCGGUGGAAUGCGCAGAUAUCAGGAGGAACACCGGUGGCGAAGGCGGAUCUCUGGGCCUUACCUGACGCUGAGGUGCGAAAGCUAGGGGAGCGAACAGGAUUAGAUACCCCU